rnacentral:rRNA from 1 species
UUAAGUAAGAAAGUGCACACGAUGGAUGCCUAGGUGAUCACUGGCGAAGAAGGACGUUUCAGCCAACGCUAAUCUUCGGAGAGCUGGCAAGAAAGCUUUGACCCGGAGGAUUCCGAAUGGGUAAACCUAAACUAACAUAGCUUAUCCUAAACUGAACACAUAAGCUUAGGAUGUUAACGUGGAGAACUGAACCAUCUAAGUACCCACAGACAAAAGAAAUCAAAUGAGAUUCCCUUAGUAGUGGCGAGCGAACAGGGAUGAGCCGUGCAUUUGGAGAGUAUGCUUUGACUAACCGAACAUUCUUGAACGAAUGACCAUAGGAGGUGAUAGGCCUGUAGGUGAAAGUUAAUACCGUACUGCAUGCAGCAAUAAGUAGAACGAGGCACGUGAAACCUUGUUUGAAGAUAGGGGGUCCAUUCUCUAAGGCUAAAUACAUGUGAUCAACCGAUAGCGAACUAGUACCGUGAGGGAAAGGUGAAAAGAAUCCCCGAAAAGGAAGUGAAACAGAGCCUGAAAUCAUGUGCAUACAAACAGUCGAAGCUUUUCUUAAGCCUAUCUUCUAGGUUGAUUCUAAGUAAAGUAACGACGUACCUUUUGUAUAAUGGGUCAGCGAGUUACAUUCAAUAGCAAGCUUAACUUAGUCAGGAAGGCAUAGCGAAAGCGAGUCUUUAAGGGCGUCAAGUUGUUGAAUGUAGACCCGAAACCAGGUGAUCUAAUCAUGGGCAGGUUGAAGGUUAGGUAAUACUAACUGGAGGACCGAACCCACUAGCGUUGCAAAGCUAGGGGACGACCUGUGAUUAGGGGCGAAAGACCAAUCAAACCUGGAGAUAGCUGGUUCUCCCCGAAAGCUAUUUAGGUAGCGCCUUAUGAAAUCACUCCUGGGGGUAGAGCACUGUAAUGGCUUAGAGAUCUUUAAGGGUUAUCUUUCCAUAGCAAACUACGAAUACCAGAAAGAGUUCAAUCAUGGGAGACAGACGCUGGGUGAUAACGUCCAGUGUCGAGAGGGAAACAACCCAGAUCGCCAUCUAAGGUCCCUAAAUGUAGCUAAGUGUAAAACGAGGUGUCCAAGCAAAAACAAUCAGGAUGUGGGCUUAGAAGCAGUCAUCAUUUAAAGAAAGCGUAACAGCUCACUGAUCUAGCUUGGAUGCACGGAAGAUAUAACGGGGCUAAGCUGCAUACCGAAGCUGCGAACAUAUAAAGCUAUGUGGUAGGGGAGCGUUCCGUAAACCAACGAAGGUGCUUUGCUAGAAGUAUUGGAGGUAUCGGAAGUGCGAAUGCUGACAUGAGUAGCAAGAAAAGAGGUGAGAAUCCUUUUCACCGAAAGCCCAAGGGUUCCUAUGCAACGUUGUUCGUCAUAGGGUAAGCCGAAGUCCUAAGGUGAGGCCAAAAGGCGUAAUCGAUGGUUAACAGGUUAAUAUUCCUGUGCCGUUAACACUAUAGCGAUGGGGUAACAAACUAAAGGUAACUAGCCAAGAGCGUGGACUCCUCUGGUUAUUGUGUUGAAGGAAUGCUUAGGAAAAGACCAAGCAGCUAUUUGUACUAUAAUUCCCUGGUCACAAUACGAGUCUAAAGUGGUUACUGAUGGUUUCAGGAAAAGCCUCUAAGUGACUAAAAGUGUAGCGUUCGUACCGCAAUCCAACGCAGGUGGGCAGGAUGAAGAUUCUAAGGUGUUUGAGAGAACUCAGGAGAAGGAACUCGGCAAAUUGAUACCGUAACUUAGGGAAAAGGUAUGCCUCAAGAAUAGCUGAUACAACAUCAUAAAGUUCAAGAGGUUGCAAUGAAUCGGUGGCUGCGACUGUUUAAUAAAAACACAGCACUCUGCUAACACGAAAGUGGAUGUAUAGGGUGUGACACCUGCUCAGUGCCAGAAGAUUAAUUGAGAAAGUGAAAGCUUUCAACUAAAGUCCUGGUAAACAGCGGCCGUAACUAUAACGGUCCUAAGGUAGCGAAAUUCCUUGUCGGGUAAGUUCCGACCUGCACGAAUGGUGUAACGAUGGCCAUACUGUCUCCUCCUGAGACUCAGCGAAAUUGAAAUGGUUGUGAUGAUGCAAUCUACCCGCGGCUAGACGGAAAGACCCCAUGAACCUUUACUGUAGCUUUGCAUUGAGAUUUAAGUCGAUCUGUAUAGGAUAGGUGGGAGGCUUUGAAGUGUGGACGCCAGUUUGUGCUGAGCCAACCUUGAAAUACCACCCUUUUCAGCUUAGAUGUCUAACCUGUUCCGUUAACCGGAAUAGGAACAAUGUAUGGUGGGCAGUUUGACUGGGGCGGUCUCCUCCUAAAAAGUAACGGAGGAGCACAAAGGUACGCUAACUACGGACGGGAAUCGUACUAAUAGUGUAAUGGCAUAAGCGUGCUUAACUGUAAGACAAACGAGUCGAACAGAUGCGAAAGCAGGUCAUAGUGAUCCGGUGGUUCUGUAUGGAAGGGCCAUCGCUCAACGAAUAAAAGGUACUCUGGGGAUAACAGGCUUAUACCGCCCAAGAGUUCAUAUCGACGGCGGUGUUUGGCACCUCGAUGUCGGCUCAUCUCGUCCUGGGGCUGCAACAGGUCCCAAGGGUAUGGCUGUUCGCCAUUUAAAGAGGUACGUGAGCUGGGUUUAAAACGUCGUGAGACAGUUUGGUCCCUAUCUACCGUGGGUGUUGGAUAUCUGAAGGAAGCUGUUUCUAGUACGAGAGGACCGGAACGGACAAACCUAUUGUGUACGGGCUGUUAAACCAUUGGCACUGCCCGGUAGCUACGUUUGGAAAAGAUAACCGCUGAAAGCAUAUAAGCAGGAAGCUUGUCCUAAGAUGAGAUAUCCCAGGCUAUGUCCUAAAGGGUCGUUCUAGACUAGAACGUUGAUAGGUUGGGUGUGCAAGCAUAGUAAUAUGUUUAGCUAACCAAUACUAAUGAACCGUGAGGCUUAAACCU